CUAACUUCCAUUUGAUGCACAAAAUUUAUUUUAAACCAGGUUGUGAUCAUAUUCUUUAUAUAUCACAUGAAAAAUGGCACUUUGUAAACUUAUAUUUACAAAGUUGUACAAAACAAAUACAAUGCUGCAUUAAAAACACAGUUGAGACAAUUAAACAUACUGUUAAUUAUGAGGUUAAUUCUCCUUUCAGGUAUUCUAGCAACAAUAAUAGUGGCCUCUAUGCUAGGACUGCUUCUGAUCAUUACACUGGUUUGGUGUCUUUUGAGAAAAAGAUCUAACGCCGAAGAACAAAAAGAGAAAACCAAUGGGUACAAGCUGGCUGAGAAAGAAGAAAGCGUCUCCAAAGUAUAACCUCUCAACAUCUGAUGAAACCUGAGCAAAUUACACUUGCAGUCCAUCCGUUUUUCCAUCAUUCACGUUUCUGUCCUUGACUCACAGGCCUAGUCGCUAGGAAACCAUCUGGUUGCAUGCAAUAUUUAGAUCAAAAAUGUCUAUUUUCUAAAAAGGGUCUGUUCUUCUUCAACCACAUUCUAAUCCAACAGGACCCGAAAAACCCUAUGAUGACACGAGAGGAGAGUAAAAAUAUGUCGUUUUUAUACAGUAUGUAAUUCACCGCAUUUGUAUAACCCACCAGUCGACAUCAAACCUGGUGCUUUGCGAAGCAGGAGCCAUCAUACAAUGAUCUGCCAGGGUGGCCUUCCUUUGCUGUGCGCCGGCAUGUGACAUCUCUCUGCGCAGUGCCAAGCAGAUGUGGUGGGAAAACGCAGCUUCUGCCCGAGGCAACGAGGACGUUCUGGUUCAGCGUGGAUAUGUGGCGGCCUGAGAUGGGUAGUUAUGAUGUCCCCACCCUGUAUUUACUAUUGUGCUGUUGGACCGAUUAGAGUAAAUAAAGGGUACGUGCAGAGCCGCGCUCUCGGUUCCCACUGAACACGCCACAGAACUGGCCUAUUGUUCCCCAGCUUGCAUGUAGGUUGACCUUUGACCUCUCAUUGCCUGAGCAAUCAUGAGACUAAACGCCCAUGCAAACCCUGUAGCCCCUGCAUCAUAAUGUACCGGAAU
rnacentral:lncRNA from 1 species